GGUGCAGUGGCCAAGUGGUAUGGCGUUGGUCUCAUAAAACCAAAUGAUCAAGAUCAUGGGUUCAAUCCCAUCUGUGCCU